GUUUGGCCCAAGUGUCAUUUCGUUCAAAAAGAGUGUGGUACAGUACACAUUUAAACUAUUACAUGAUGUUAUCAUAUUUUGAUACACGACUCUAUGGAAUACACCCUGACUGAGGCACAGGACACAAGGAAAGACACACCAGAUUAAAGGCAUAGAAACAGAUCUGCGCUAGGACAACACAGUCACCACGAUCUGAAUACAUUGCAGUGGGUUGAAUCUUCUGUCUCUCCGGUCGGAACAAGACUCUGUCCAUCUCCUCCCUCAGCAGAGAUGACAUCUCAGGCAGAAAACGUGAGAGAAAAUUAAUUUAAGUGUGAGAGAG